rnacentral:lncRNA from 1 species
AAAUAAGAGCCUAUCAGCAAGUGCCUUCAAGGUCUGGGUAUGAGCUGGACAUAGGGAUGUUUUAGAGCCAUUUUCUUGUCUCAUAUUCUUUAAUGUCAAAAUAGGAAUAUUUAUUGCUAACAUUUGUGAGGAUGAUGCAAACAAGAUAAACUAUUUCCAUAUCACUUUGCAAAUCACUUAAAAUGCAUCAGGCAUUAAAAAAAAAUCAAGAAGUUAUGGUAGAAGCAGUAGAGAGGAAAGCAAGCAAUAAUGGGAGCAGCAGUAAUCACAUCCCAACAUAAAACUUAUCUUUAAACUGGGACCCCCUUUUCUUCUGAUACUUGGUUAAACUUGGCUUAUUUUUAUGAGAUUCCAGAGUUUCCCUAAUUUCCUGGGGUUUACUGCCUCUUGUGUUUCUUUGUGUCUAUUUCAUAUCAAUAUAUACUCCUUCUAUUUUUCUUGCUCAUUUGCAAUUAUGGAAGAACCAUGCUGUUUUCCACAAGGAGUCUUCUUGAAACCAGACACAUCAUGAAGGCUGUCAUUUGGAUGACGAUUGUUUGGGGAGUGUGUAGUAAUGGGAGGCAAGUUUGUGGAGGACAUCAUAUCUCUGACGGUGGGUAGAAAAAAGAUAUUAGAUUGGGCUGACAACAACUUGGAUAUGGAAGAUGAUACUCAAGGUUUAUGUCAAACUGGGAGAUGAUGCAGCCAUUUAAGGACUGGGAUAAGGGACAAACAUGAAAAGAAAUAUUUCAUAUGAUUCCAUGUUUUAAUUUAUGCCAAGAUAUUUCCAAAAUAUAUUUUUGCCAGAGUUAAAUCUGCCUACUCUCGUCAUUUGAAUGAUGAUUUUAACUUGUUAUUAUUAACUAUGAAAUUAGAUUAAUAUGAAAUUCAUACUGCUUUCUUUUG